UUGUGUUGCAGAAACAAAAUCUCAUUCUCACUAUGUUCUCCAGUCUCAGUCUCGCUCCCCCCUCUCGAUUAAUCACUCAGUUCUCACUUCUCCAAUAAUUAAUCUCUUAAUCAGGCUCCCAAGAAAGGUGUUAAAACUCCAGUAGCAGCAAAGAAGAAGAAUAUCUGGAAAUCGUGGACUGAAGUGAAGUUGAUGCAAUGAUGCAACAUGCCAGGCAGCCAAGCAAGAUCACACUAAGACUGGGAGAUAUUGGUUUUUUUGCAAAGAUUGGAGCUUUUGGUGGUGGUGGAGGAGGAUUAGGAGCUGUUAGAUAUUCAAGUUCUGUUCCUAAAAUUCGUCCCAAAAUUCCUCAGUUACCAAAGAACGGAAGAAUCUUUACAGCAGCCUUUUUAGGCAUAGUUAUUUCUGGAGGGGCUUAUGCGAGUACUGUGGAUGAGGCAACUUUCUGUGGGUGGCUAUUUUCAGCAACAAAGCUUGUGAACCCAUUCUUUGCCUACCUCGAUGCAGAGACUGCUCAUCAUUUAGCUGUUGCAGCAGCAGCUCGUGGUUGGGUCCCAAGAGAGAAGAGGCCGGACCCAUCAAUAUUGGGGAUGGAUGUGUGGGGUCGGAGGUUCUCGAACCCUAUAGGUCUUUCUGCUGGUUUUGAUAAGAAUGCGGAGGCAGUUGAAGGUUUAUUAGGGAUGGGUUUUGGAUUCGUAGAGAUUGGCUCCGUAACCCCUGCUCCACAGGAUGGUAAUCCAAAGCCUCGAAUUUUUAGACUGCGAGAGGAAGGAGCUAUUAUAAAUAGGUGUGGAUUUAAUAGUGAAGGCAUUGUUGCUGUUGCAAAGAGAUUGGGUGCUCAGCAUGGUAAAAGGAAGCUGGCUGAAACUUCAAGCAUUGCACCUGUGUCCAGUGACGAAAUCCCGCAUGGAGGAAAAGCAGGUCCUGGCAUUCUGGGUGUCAAUCUUGGCAAGAAUAAGACUAGUGAAGAUGCUGCUGCUGACUAUGUUCAAGGAGUUCACACUUUGUCUCAGUACGCCGAUUACUUGGUUAUCAACAUUUCAUCACUAAAUACUCCAGGGUUGCGUAAGCUUCAAGGACGAAAGCAACUCCAGGAUCUUGUUAAAAAGGUUCAAGCUGCUCGUGACGAAAUGCAAUGGGGUGAGGAAGGCCCUCCUCCACUGCUUGUGAAAAUUGCUCCAGACUUGUCCAAGCUAGAUCUCGAAGAUAUUGCAGCAGUUGCUUUGACUCUCCGUUUGGAUGGAUUGAUCAUAACUAAUACAACCAUUGCAAGACCAGAUCCAGCUAGUAAGAACCCAGUUUCUGAAGAAACUGGUGGUUUAAGUGGGAAACCUCUAUUUAACCUGUCAACCAACGUGCUCAAGGACAUGUAUCUUCUGACAAGGUUCGGUGCAGUGUCUUUGGAAACUACAGAAUGCUAAUGUCGAAUUGUAAUAUCAGCUGUGAAACUAAGACAAAGGGAAGAUUCCUCUUAUUGGUUGUGGGGGAAUUAGCAAUGGCGAGGAUGCAUAUAAGAAGAUACGUGCUGGAGCAUCUCUAGUUCAGCUUUACACGGCUUUUGCCUACGAGGGACCAGCUCUCAUUCCCAAAAUGAAGGUUGAAUUGGCAGAGUGCUUAGAAAGGGAUGGAUUCAAGUCAAUUGCAGAAGCUAUUGGUGCAGAUUACAGGUAGUUUUGUAUCUUAGGAGAACUAGAGAAAAGAGCUUGUCCCUUUUUGAACAAUUCAAGGGCCAACACCCAUAAAUAUACCAAUACAACAUGAAUUGGUAGUCCUUUCUUAAAUUUAGGUUUUUUGCUAAAUUUCCUUUUCAAUGUAGUGACAAAAUUUUGACAUCCCUUCUGGGAUUCUGAAAUGUACUAUUAUUGAGUAAAUGUCAUAUGUCAGCUGCUUACUCAGGCUUUCUCAAACGACUCGACCCUCAGUGGCUUCAAAGUGAUCUUUCUCGUGUAAAUUAUUAUAUUUUCUGUGGACC